AAGAAAGAUAAGAAGAACAAAGAAAAAGAAAAGAAAGGAAAGGAAGAAGCAGAAAAGGUUACACCUUC
rnacentral:ribozyme from 13 species